UACGUAGGGGGCAAGCGUUGUCCGGAAUCAUUGGGCGUAAAGCGCGUGUAGGCUGUUAGUUAAGUCAGAUGUGAAAGCCCUCGGCUCAACCGGGGAAGUGCAUUUGAAACUAACUGGCUAGAAGACGGUAGAGGAAGGUGGAAUUCCAAGUGUAGAGGUGAAAUUCGUAGAUAUUUGGAGGAAUACCUGUGGCGAAGGCGGCCUUCUGGACCGAUCUUGACGCUGAGACGCGAAAGCGUGGGUAGCAAACAGG
rnacentral:rRNA from 1 species